rnacentral:rRNA from 1 species
GACGAACGCUGGCGGCGUGCUUAACACAUGCAAGUCGAACGGAAAGGCCCUGCUUUUGUGGGGUGCUCGAGUGGCGAACGGGUGAGUAACACGUGAGUAACCUGCCCUUGACUUUGGGAUAACUUCAGGAAACUGGGGCUAAUACCGGAUAGGAGCUCCUGCUGCAUGGUGGGGGUUGGAAAGUUUCGGCGGUUGGGGAUGGACUCGCGGCUUAUCAGCUUGUUGGUGGGGUAGUGGCUUACCAAGGCUUUGACGGGUAGCCGGCCUGAGAGGGUGACCGGCCACAUUGGGACUGAGAUACGGCCCAGACUCCUACGGGAGGCAGCAGUGGGGAAUAUUGCACAAUGGGCGGAAGCCUGAUGCAGCAACGCCGCGUGCGGGAUGACGGCCUUCGGGUUGUAAACCGCUUUCGCCUGUGACGAAGCGUGAGUGGCGGUAAUGGGUAAAGAAGCACGGGCUAACUACGUG